rnacentral:rRNA from 1 species
CGCGUGAGUAACCUGCCUCUAAGAGGGGAAUAACAUUCUGAAAAGAAUGCUAAUACCGCAUAACAUAUAUUUAUCGCAUGGUAGAUAUAUCAAAGAUUUAUCGCUUAGAGAUGGACUCGCGUCCGAUUAGUUAGUUGGUGAGGUAACGGCUCACCAAGACCGCGAUCGGUAGCCGGACUGAGAGGUUGAACGGCCACAUUGGGACUGAGACACGGCCCAG